rnacentral:misc_RNA from 1 species
AACCAUAGAAACCUGCGGAGUACCUGCGGAGGGAUCAUUACAGAGUGUAAAAACUCCCAAACCCCUGUGAACGUACCUGUCGUUGCUUCGGCGGAUCGCCCCGGGCGCUGCAAGGUGCCCCGGAGUCAGGCGCCCGCCGGAGGACCACAAACUCUUGUUUUAUACCGGAAUUCUCUGAGUGGCAUGUCUCAUGCAAAAACAAAAUGAAUCAAAACUUUUAACAAUGGAUCUCAGAUCGGA